UACGUAGGGAGCAAGCGUUGUUCGGAAUUACUGGGCGUAAAGGGCUCGUAGGUGGCCAACUAAGUCGGACGUGAAAUCCCUCAGCUUAACUGGGGAACUGCGUCCGAUACUGGAUGGCUUGAGUUUGGGAGAGGGAUGCGGAAUUCCAGGUGUAGCGGUGAAAUGCGUAGAUAUCUGGAGGAACACCGGUGGCGAAGGCGGCAUCCUGGACCAACACUGACACUGAGGAGCGAAAGCCAGGGGAGCAAACGGG
rnacentral:rRNA from 1 species